CUCUUGACAUCCAGAGAACUUUCCAGAGAUGGAUGGGUGCCUUCGGGAACUCUGAGACAGGUGCUGCAUGGCUGUCGUCAGCUCGUGUUGUGAAAUGUUGGGUUAAGUCCGCAACGAGCGCAACCCCUAUCCUUUGUUGCCAGCGAUUCGGUCGGGAACUCAAAGGAGACUGCCGGUGAUAAACCGGAGGAAGGUGGGGAUGACGUCAAGUCAUCAUGGCCCUUACGAGUAGGGCUACACACGUGCUACAAUGGCGUAUACAAAGAGAAGCGACCUCGCGAGAGCAAGCGGACCUCAUAAAGUACGUCGUAGUCCGGAUUGGAGUCUGCAACUCGACUCCAUGAAGUCGGAAUCGCUAGUAAUCGUAGAUCAGAAUGCUACGGUGAAUACGUUCCCGGGCCUUGUACACACCGCCCGUCACACCAUGGGAGUGGGUUGCAAAAGAAGUAGAUAGCUUAACCUUCGGGAGGGCGUUUACCACUUUGUGAUUCAUGACUGGGGUGAAGUCGUAACAAGGUAGGCGUAGCGAG
rnacentral:rRNA from 1 species